CAGAGAAUCACUUUUCAGAUAUUUCUCAUUCCACAAGCACCCUCCCCUUCACCAAAACAUCAUUAAAGCCUUACAGAGACCUUGAUGACGAUGAGACUAAAAUUAGCUUGGCCUUCAAAUGUGAACAUGGUCCUAAAAUUAGACAGGCUUUCCAGCUGGGCCUGGGCUUGCAGGAGCUCACACAGAGGAGGGCAACGUGCCUUCCUUCCUGUCCCUCCCAUUAGUCAGACUGUUACAGCUCCCCAGCACUGACACGGCUGCCUCGGCCGGCAUCCAAGACAGAGCUGGAGACUUCUCUGUACCUAGGAGGGGAGGCUGCAGCUGAGGCCUGUGCUGGGGCUUCUUCCUGCUGCAAAGGGGUAGACUGAGAAGAAGCCAUCAGGGCUUGCUGAGGGGAACAGGCCAGGCCCAUGGAUCAGAAAGGGAAAAAGCACAGGAUCAUGGCAUAAGUAAUAGAGCUCUUUCAGAUGACUACAUUUGAGACUACUUUCACGAGAAGUUACAUGAUACACAUGGACAUUCUGUUUCCUGGAAGUUUAAGAUGAGAGACUUAGAGCAGUCUCCAAUGGCAACUGACCGAUGCCCCAGUUCCCUAAUGUCGGGGCAUUCUGGAUCAGCAGGCCUCCUUCAGGCUGAGCUUACAUCAGACAUGCUCCUGGUGUGGAGGGCUGAGGUUAUAAAGGGUAGAUUUGUUGUAAAGACAGAGAACAAGGGCUAGCUAAUCUAUAUCUGCUUGUUGCAACUGAGUGGGG